UGGCGGACGGGUGAGUAACGCGUAAAGAACUUGCCCUUUAGACUGGGAUAACAGAGGGAAACUUCUGAUAAUACUGGAUAAGUUAGUACAUCGCAUGAUAUGCAAAUGAAAGCUACGGCACUAAAGGAGAGCUUUGCGUCCUAUUAGCUAGUUGGUAAGGUAAGAGCUUACCAAGGCGAUGAUAGGUAGCCGGCCUGAGAGGGUGGACGGCCACAAGGGGACUGAGAUACGGCCCUUACUCCUACGGGAGGCAGCAGCG
rnacentral:rRNA from 1 species